ACCAUGGCCGUCCAUCUGGCUCUUUUUCAAUGCUGACACAAUGUGCAGGGACUUCAUAUAUGCUCAUUUGAAGAGGCAUUAUUUUUGUUUCUCUGUUUGCUUUGAACAUUGAAGCCAAAGUGGCCAGGGCAUCAGCCAAUUGGUUUUCUUCUCGUGGGAGGUAAUUAAAAGUUAUUUCUUCGAAUUCUUUAAUCAGCUCUACCACUAGAUCACUGUAUUUGACCAGUUUCGAAUCUCUCACUUCCC
rnacentral:lncRNA from 1 species